UACGUAGGGUGCGAGCGUUGUCCGGAAUUACUGGGCGUAAAGAGCUCGUAGGUGGUUUGUCGCGUUGUCCGUGAAAACUCACAACUCAAUUGUGGGCGUGCGGGCGAUACGGGCAGACUGGAGUACUGCAGGGGAGACUGGAAUUCCUGGUGUAGCGGUGGAAUGCGCAGAUAUCGAGAGGAACACCUGCGGCGAAGGCGGGUUGCUGGGCUGAUACUGACGCUGAGGCGCGAAAGCCAGGGGAGCGAACGGG
rnacentral:rRNA from 1 species